ACGGAGGGUGCAAGCGUUGUUCGGAAUUACUGGGCGUAAAGAGCGUGUAGGCGGUAUGGUAAGUCAGAUGUGAAAGCCCUGGGCUUAACCCAGGAAGUGCAUUUGAUACUGCUAUUCUUGAGUAUGGGAGAGGAGAGUGGAAUUCCCAGUGUAGAGGUGAAAUUCGUAGAUAUUGGGAGGAACAUCCGUGGCGAAGGCGACUCUCUGGACCAAUACUGACGCUGAGACGCGAAAGCGUGGGGAGCAAACAG
rnacentral:rRNA from 1 species